AUAUUUACCUGGCAGAGGAGACACCAUGAUCAGGCAGGUGGUUUUCGCAGGGUGAGGCUCAUCCCUGCACUCCAGAUGUGGUGACCCCUGUGAUUUCCCCAGAUGGGGGAAACUCAACUGCACAAUUUAUGGUAGUGUAUUUAUAUA
rnacentral:snRNA from 1 species